rnacentral:lncRNA from 1 species
CAAACACAUGCUUCUUAAUAAAAAAAAAAUUUUUAAAAAAUUAUGUUUUGUAGUAAACAAUUAUAAUUGCACUAUAAUAUGACUUUCAAACUAUAUGUUGUGAAUUUUACCUAAUGCCAAUCAAUGCUCAGAUCUCAGAAAUCCUUGUAAUGUGGUUCUGGAGAAAAAUGUGACGACAAUGCUCAACUUGGCCAUCAUUUGCAAAAUGAUAGUUGAUAAUAAGGCCUUUGAAAAUAGUGGAAUUAAUUACUUUUGUAGUGUCAAAAUGUCAAUAGGGCGA